UCCUAGAAAAGAGGCCGCUCAGGAUGGGGAUGAGACUUCCAUUGCUCCGGGCCCGAUGCAUCCCCUCACGUUAUCGAGGCCUGCACAGACCCAAAGUGCAACCGCCGCGAAGACGAUGGACAGCUGGCCGCAGGACCCAGGGAGAGACGCAGAAAGAGGCUCACCAAAGACCGGUCCACAUAAAAGACAUCCCUUUUUGACGCACAGGGCACAUUCGUCCAAAGACACACACACACACACACACACACACACACACACACACACACAGAGGGAAAGAAGCACACAGAGGGUGAGAGACAGAGAGAGAAGGGAGAAUGGGAGACACAGCCCCAGCCCCAGUCCCAGCGCAGUCCCUUUGUUUCCUGACAUUCGUUACAGCCAAAAGAUCCAGGGAGUCUGUCCACCUGUGAGCGGAGGAGAGGAUGUCCCUCAAGAGUGAGACAGGAAGCGCAGGGGAAAUGCACUUGUCCUAGAAGACAAGGCCAGUCUCGCCGGCCUAGCGCUCGCUCAUCCUAGGCAAUCCACCCACCCAUGAGGUGAAACACGGAGACCGAGGAAGCUUCCCUGUCUGAGACACGUAUGGAAGCCAAGAGCCCCAGGGUCAUCAGACCUGCGCAAUCCAGCAGAAACAGGCUUGGAGAGAGAAACAGUCAUGACACGGAUCUCCAGGAAGUGUCUCCCUGAUGGACGGGGAAGUGAUCUUCGUAGAAGAUAUUCAGCCAGACCGAGAGGCAUCUAGGCCGCUCAGAAACAGGGGAGACAGAGCAAGAGGGACGACAGAGCAGAGGCCAUAGCCCAGGCAGGAUACAGCGCCGUGCCACCGCCACGGGCAUAAGAGGAGGGGUGCGAAGCGGGUGGCUUGUCCAGAGAGGCCAGCGUUCCAGGGACGGGGCUUGUUGCCGUCUCCCAUUCCAGGCUUCCUCUUCAAGACUGUGUGGUGGUGUGGCUUCAUUUCGCAGAGAAGGGGCGUGGAAAGGUAAAACCAUCUUCUUGGACGUGGGUCUGCUCCUCUCCUGCCGGACAAUGUGCUACCGUGGGGCUUUUGUCCUGGGCUGCAGUGUGGUCCUCUCGAUCCUAGAAAAGAGGCCGCUCAGGAUGGGGAUGAGACUUCCAUUGCUCCGGGCCCGAUGCAUCCCCUCACGUUAUCGAGGCCUGCACAGACCCAAAGUGGAACCGCCGCGAAGACGAUGGACAGCUGGCCGCAGGACCCAGGGAGAGACGCAGAAAGAGGCUCACCAAAGACCGGUCGACAUAAAAGACAUCCCUUUUUGACGCACAGGGCACAUUCGUCAAAAGACACACACACACACACACAAACACACACACACACACACACAGAGGGAAAGAAGCACACAGAGGGUGAGAGACAGAGAGAGAAGGGAGAAUGGGAGACACAGCCCCACACACAGUCCUACCGCGGUGGCCGAGCAAUACACGCCCCCAGGCAACCCCUGCGGCUGCCGGGUUCUGCUCUGGAGGGGAACAACCCUCGGCUGAGAGAACAGCCCUCGGGCACGCAGGCGGACCUGUCCUCGAGAUCACGGGGGCACGACUUCUCGGGAGACUCACCCGAACACCGUCCUGGCAGGCCUGAGGCUGGGAUGCCACGCUGCUUCCCCCGGACUCCGCCUGUGGUUUCCUCAUCCUGCUCGGCCCCUUGCGACUCCUGGCAGCCGGAGACGUUCCUGUGGACCCCGUGGAGAGGUCAGGCCGGAGCCUCGGAGGCCCGACACCCAAGCGCUGCCACGGAGGGCCCGAUGCAUCCCCUCACGUUAUCGAGGCCUGCACAGACCCAAAGUGGAACCGCCGCGAAGACGAUGGACAGCUGGCCGCAGGACCCAGGGAGAGACGCAGAAAGAGGCUCACCAAAGACCGGUCGACAUAAAAGACAUCCCUUUUUGACGCACAGGGCACAUUCGUCAAAAGACACACACACACACACACAAACACACACACACACACACACAGAGGGAAAGAAGCACACAGAGGGUGAGAGACAGAGAGAGAAGGGAGAAUGGGAGACACAGCCCCACACACAGUCCUACCGCGGUGGCCGAGCAAUACACGCCCCCAGGCAACCCCUGCGGCUGCCGGGUUCUGCUCUGGAGGGGAACAACCCUCGGCUGAGAGAACAGCCCUCGGGCACGCAGGCGGACCUGUCCUCGAGAUCACGGGGGCACGACUUCUCGGGAGACUCACCCGAACACCGUCCUGGCAGGCCUGAGGCUGGGAUGCCACGCUGCUUCCCCCGGACUCCGCCUGUGGUUUCCUCAUCCUGCUCGGCCCCU
rnacentral:lncRNA from 1 species